UAGCAGUGGCGGAGGUCCACGGGCAACCUCGAGAGUCUACCACCGCUAACAUCUUGAAUGAGGAACUAAGCACCGGCAAUAUCACGGCUGAGAAUAGAUUUCUGGGAAGGUCGUCCUACACGGAAGAUGACGAUGAUACCAUUUGUGUCGCAGCAGACAACAAGUUCUACUUGUAUGCUAAUUCCCUGAAGCUGUAUUCUUGCUACAACCAGCUACCGAAAGUUUACGUGGUGAAACCAAAGAGUCAGUGUAAACCGUACCUGUCAGACUGCCCCAGGAACUAGGAGUAUUGCAAGUCUGAUGGCUCAGCUUCAAGGGACUGACUCGUCUGCGAGUGAGUGAAGACUAAAUGGCUGGCCUGCUGACUGAAGACAUCUCAUGUUUCCAGAGAAGCCCAUAAACUGCAAGAGCGUCAUUACUUGCCUUUUUACUCAAACAUGACCGGGGGAAUCUACUCAUCCUCUUCUAUGAAGUUCCUGAUUACUGCACGACAUGCAAAAUAAAUUUCAUUACUGCAAAGAUUAGUAUUUAAAAACAUUGCGUUUGUCUUAUUUUAUCUUUCUGUUGUUUCUGUAAUAGCUGCAUGCUACGGAAUAAAAUUGUAGUUUCUUUA